GACGAACGCUGGCGGCGUGCCUAAUACAUGCAAGUAGAACGCAGUUGCGAACGGGUGAGUAACGCGUAGGUAACUGCCUCAUAGCGGGGGAAAACUAGUGGAAACGAUAGCUAAUACCGCAUACUGUGAGAUGGACCGGCGUUGUAUUAACUCGUUGGUGAGGUAAAGGGUCACCAAGGCGCCCAUACAUCGCCGACGUGAGAGGGUGGACGGCCAAAACGGGACUUGGAAACGGGCCCGGACCCUGCGGGAGGCAGCAGUAGGGAAACUUCGGCAAAGGACGGAAGUCUGGACGCGGAAAGGCGCGUGAGUGAAGAAGGUUUUCGGGUCGUAAAGCUCUUUUGUUAGAGAAGCGGUAACUAACCAGAAAGGAACGGCUAACUACGUGCCAGCAGCCGCGGUAAUAC
rnacentral:rRNA from 1 species